GACGAACGCUGGCGGCGUGCUUAACACAUGCACGUCGCACGAAGUGGCGAACGGGUGAGUCACGCGUAAUCAACCUGCCCUUCAGAGGGGGACAACAGUUGGAAACGACUGCUAAUACCGCCUACUGCAGGAUGGGACUGCGUCUGAUUAGAUAGUUGGAGGGGUAACGCCCCACCAAGGAGCUGGUAAGUAGCGGGUCUGAGAGGAUUAACGGCCACAUUGGGACUGAGACACGCCACAGACUCCUACGGGAGGCAGCAGGUGGGAAUCUUCCGAAAUGGACGAAAGUCUGACGGAGCAACGCCGCGUGAGGGAUGACGGCCUUCGGGUUUUAAAGCUCCGUUAAUCGGGACGCGGUACCGGAAUAGAAAGCCACGGCUAACUCCGUGCCAGCAGCCGCGGUAAUAC
rnacentral:rRNA from 1 species